AAUAACCACCUUUCAAUUACUUGCCUUAGACACCAAUUGGAUAAUUGAUCAGAAUUGGUUAGCUCAAGUGAAUCAGGUUCAAAUCAACAAGCCAAAUUAGGUCUUUAAGUUAAUCGAUUCUACAUAUGGGACUCAAUCGAUUUGAUCAACAACAAUUGUAUGAUCAUUAACUUAAGUGAUUUAACUCAAUUCAACAUUUGACUCGGUUUAAUCAAUUACUUAAUCAAAUUAAACCCAU
rnacentral:lncRNA from 1 species